GAUCAUGGCUCAGAUUGAACGCUGGCGGCAUGCUUUACACAUGCAAGUCGAACGGCAGCACGGGGCAACCCUGGUGGCGAGUGGCGAACGGGUGAGUAAUAUAUCGGAACGUACCCGGAAAUGGGGGAUAACGUAGCGAAACUUGAGCUAAUACCGAAUGUGCCCUUCGGGGGAAAGAUUUAUCGCCAUUAGAGCGGCCCGCGUCUGAUUAGCUAGUUGGUGAGGUAAAGGCUCACCAAGGCUACGAUCAGUAGCUGGUCUGAGAGGAUGAUCAGCCACAUUGGGACUGAGACACGGCCCAAACUCCUACGGGAGGCAGCAGUGGGGAAUCUUGCGCAAUGGGCGAAAGCCUGACGCAGCCAUGCCGCGUGAAUGAUGAAGGUCUUAGGAUUGUAAAAUUCUUUCACCGGGGACGAUAAUGACGGUACCCGGAGAAGAAGCCCCGGCUAACUUCGUG
rnacentral:rRNA from 1 species